rnacentral:rRNA from 1 species
CACGUAGGCACCAAGCGUUGUCCGGAUUUAUUGGGCGUAAAGAGCUCGUAGGCGGUUCGGUAAGUCGGGUGUGAAAACUUUGGGCUCAACCCAAAGCGUGCAUUCGAUACUGCCGUGACUAGAGUUCGGUAGGGGAGCGGGGAAUUCCUAGUGUAGCGGUGAAAUGCGCAGAUAUUAGGAGGAACACCGGUGGCGAAGGCGCCGCUCUGGGCCGAAACUGACGCUGAGGAGCGAAAGCGUGGGGAGCAAACAGG